rnacentral:rRNA from 1 species
UGUUAGCGGCGGACGGGUGAGUAACACGUGGGUAACCUGCCUGUAAGACUGGGAUAACUCCGGGAAACCGGGGCUAAUACCGGAUGCUUGUUUGAACCGCAUGGUUCAAACAUAAAAGGUGGCUUCGGCUACCACUUACAGAUGGACCCGCGGCGCAUUAGCUAGUUGGUGAGGUAAUGGCUCACCAAGGCAACGAUGCGUAGCCGACCUGAGAGGGUGAUCGGCCACACUGGGACUGAGACACGGCCCAGACUCCUACGGGAGGCAGCAGUAGGGAAUCUUCCGCAAUGGACGAAAGUCUGACGGAGCAACGCCGCGUGAGUGAUGAAGGUUUUCGGAUCGUAAAGCUCUGUUGUUAGGGAAGAACAAGUACCGUUCGAAUAGGGCGGUACCUUGACGGUACCUAACCAGAAAGCCACGGCUAACUACGUGCCAGCAGCCGCGGUAAUACGUAGGUGGCAAGCGUUGUCCGGAAUUAUUGGGCGUAAAGGGCUCGCAGGCGGUUUCUUAAGUCUGAUGUGAAAGCCCCCGGCUCAACCGGGGAGGGUCAUUGGAAACUGGGGAACUUGAGUGCAGAAGAGGAGAGUGGAAUUCCACGUGUAGCGGUGAAAUGCGUAGAGAUGUGGAGGAACACCAGUGGCGAAGGCGACUCUCUGGUCUGUAACUGACGCUGAGGAGCGAAAGCGUGGGGGAGCGAACAGGAUUAGAUACCCUGGGUAGUCCACGCCGUAAACGAUGAGUGCUAAAGUGUUAUGGGGUUUCCGCCUCCUUAGUGCUGCAGCUAACGCAUUAAGCACUCCGCCUGGGGAGUACGGUCGCAAGACUGAAACUCAAAGGAAUUGACGGGGGCCCGCACAAGCCGGUUGGUAGCAUCGUGGUUAACUUCGAAAGCAACUGCGAAGAACCCUUACUCAGGUCUUGACAUCUUCUGACCAUUCUUAAAAGAUAGAACGUUCCCCUUCAGGGGCCAAGAGUGAACAGGUGGUGCAAUGGCUGAUCGUUCAGUCUCCGUG